AGGAGGACAUGCUCUUCUGCUCCAACAGAGAACAGGGCAGGGCUUUCACUGCCUCGUGUCCUCUCCACAUGAACAACUUAUCCAGUCAACAGCGAUAACAAAAGAAGUUCAGCGCUGAGGCUGAACCUCCACUUCAUUAGCCAGAGGCCCCUCGGAUACAUUUACACCUCAAACACCGAGGAGGGAGAGGGAGAAGACAGACACAGACAGAGGAAGAUUCACAAUAAA